rnacentral:rRNA from 1 species
AGCAACAAAUGCCCUGCUUCCAGGAAAAGCCUCUAAGCAUCAGGUAACAUCAAAUCGUACCCCAAACCGACACAGGUGGUCAGGUAGAGAAUACCAAGGCGCUUGAGAGAACUCGGGUGAAGGAACUAGGCAAAAUGGUGCCGUAACUUCGGGAGAAGGCACGCUGACACGUAGGUGAAGUGAUUUACUCAUGGAGCUGAAGUCAGUCGAAGAUACCAGCUGGCUGCAACUGUUUAUUAAAAACACAGCACUGUGCAAACACGAAAGUGGACGUAUACGGUGUGACGCCUGCCCGGUGCCGGAAGGUUAAUUGAUGGGGUCAGCGCAAGCGAAGCUCCUGAUCGAAGCCCCGGUAAACGGCGGCCGUAACUAUAACGGUCCUAAGGUAGCGAAAUUCCUUGUCGGGUAAGUUCCGACCUGCACGAAUGGCGUAAUGAUGGCCAGGCUGUCUCCACCCGAGACUCAGUGAAAUUGAACUCGCUGUGAAGAUGCAGUGUACCCGCGGCAAGACGGAAAGACCCCGUGAACCUUUACUAUAGCUUGACACUGAACAUUGAGCCUUGAUGUGUAGGAUAGGUGGGAGGCUUUGAAGCGUGGACGCCAGUCUGCGUGGAGCCGACCUUGAAAUACCACCCUUUAAUGUUUGAUGUUCUAACGUGGACCCGUAAUCCGGGUUGCGGACAGUGUCUGGUGGGUAGUUUGACUGGGGCGGUCUCCUCCUAAAGAGUAACGGAGGAGCACGAAGGUUGGCUAAUCCUGGUCGGACAUCAGGAGGUUAGUGCAAUGGCAUAAGCCAGCUUGACUGCGAGCGUGACGGCGCGAGCAGGUGCGAAAGCAGGUCAUAGUGAUCCGGUGGUUCUGAAUGGAAGGGCCAUCGCUCAACGGAUAAAAGGUACUCCGGGGAUAACAGGCUGAUACCGCCCAAGAGUUCAUAUCGACGGCGGUGUUUGGCACCUCGAUGUCGGCUCAUCACAUCCUGGGGCUGAAGUAGGUCCCAAGGGUAUGGCUGUUCGCCAUUUAAAGUGGUACGCGAGCUGGGUUUAGAACGUCGUGAGACAGUUCGGUCCCUAUCUGCCGUGGGCGCUGGAAGACUGAGGGGGGCUGCUCCUAGUACGAGAGGACCGGAGUGGACGCAUCACUGGUGUUCGGGUUGUCAUGCCAAUGGCACUGCCCGGUAGCUAAAUGCGGAAAAGAUAAGUGCUGAAAGCAUCUAAGCACGAAACUUGCCCCGAGAUGAGUCUUCCCUGAGACUUUGAGUCUCCUGAAGGAACGUUAAAGACGAUGACGUUGAUAGGCCGGGUGUGUAAGCGCAGCGAUGCGUUGAGCUAACCGGUACUAAUGAACCGUGAGGCUUAACCUUACA